CUUAAGCAUAUCAAUAAGCGGAGGAAAAGAAACCAACAGGGAUUGCCCUAGUAACGGCGAGUGAAGCGGCAACAGCUCAAAUUUGAAAUCUGGCUCCUCGCGGGUCCGAGUUGUAAUUUGUAGAGGAUGCUUUGGGUGCGGUGCCUUCCGAGUUCCCUGGAACGGGACGCCGGAGAGGGUGAGAGCCCCGUACGGUUGGCCGCCUACUCCUACGUAUAGCUCCUUCGACGAGUCGAGUAGUUUGGGAAUGCUGCUCUAAAUGGGAGGUAAAUUUCUUCUAAAGCUAAAUACCGGCCAGAGACCGAUAGCGCACAAGUAGAGUGAUCGAAAGAUGAAAAGUACUUUGAAAAGAGGGUUAAACAGCACGUGAAAUUGUUGAAAGGGAAGCGUUUGCGACCAGACCUAUUCCUGGCCGGCGAUCCGGUGUUAGUCACUGGUGAAAACCGGCCUCGUCUAGGCCAGCAUCGGUCUUCGUAGGGGGUUAAAGGCUGGGGGAACGUGACUCCUUCGGGAGGGUUAUAGCCCCUUGCGUAAUACUCCUGCGGGGACCGAGGACCGCGUCCUCUCUUUUGGGGGCUAGGAUGCUGGCGUAAUGGUCGCCAACGACCCGUCUUGAAACACGGACCAAGGAGUCGAACAUUUGUGCGAGUGUUUGGGUAGUAAAACCCUGACGCGUAAUGAAAGUGAACGAAGGUGAGAGCCCCUUUUGUGGGGGUGCAUCAUCGACCGAUCCUGAUGUCAUCGGAUGGAUUUGAGUAAGAGCAUGACUGUUCGGACCCGAAAGAUGGUGAACUAUGCGUGGAUAGGGUGAAGCCAGAGGAAACUCUGGUGGAGGCUCGCAGCGGUUCUGACGUGCAAAUCGAUCGUCAAAUCUGCGCAUGGGGGCGAAAGACUUAUCGAACCAUCUAGUAGCUGGUUACCGCCGAAGU
rnacentral:rRNA from 1 species